AUCCUUAUGCAAGGGAAAUACGCAUAUCAGUGAGGAUUCGUCCGAGAUUGUGUUUUUGCUGGUUGAAAUUUAUUAACCAGACCUACUCCUCAUGAUCGCCAUGGGAUGUUCGCUUUAGAAUAUCUUUGAUUAUGUAGGGAAUUUUUGGAAUACUUCUUCUGU
rnacentral:snRNA from 1 species